CAAAAAAAAAAAUAGAACGAAACGUAAGCUAUGGAUACAUCCCAUAGUUAUGGAAAGAAACAAGAAAGGAUAUUUCAAUAUCAUCUAUAAGGAGAUUUGUGAAGAUCCGGAAAUUUUUUUAAAUUUCACCAGAAUGUCAAAGGAAUCAUACCAGGAGUUACUUUUAUUGAUACAAGAGCCAUGUACAAAAGCUAAUACCAUUAUGAGAGAUAGCAUAUCAGUGCAAGAAAAGCUUUUGAUAACUUUAAGGUACCUAGCAACUGGUUGUUCAUUUGUGGAUUUGCUCUAUGCAUUUAGAAUUGGAAAAUCUACAGCAAGUUUGAUUGUUCAAGAAGUUUGUAAAGCACUAUGGGCGCAUGUUAGGCAAAUGGCUUUUCCAGUUUUAAAUGCCGAAAAGUGGAUGGAAAUCGCUGAGGGAUUCAAGAAACAUUCCAAUUUUCCGAACUGCAUAGGUGCGAUUGAUGGCAAACACAUUAGACUGAUACAGCCAUCUAAUAGUGGUUCUAUGUUUUAUAAUUAUAAAAAUUAUUUCGAUGGUACUAUUUGCAAUGUGUGAUAGAAGGAGAUGCUACUACAGAUUAUCCUUUUGUUAUAGUAGAUGGUGAAGCAUUUCCUCUAUUAGAAAAUUUGCUGAGACCUUAUGGUGGAUCAAACUUAUCUUACAACAAAAAAAUUUUUAAUUAUAGAUUAUCCAGAGCUCGACGGUACAUUGAAUGUGCUUUUGGUAUAUUAGCUAAUAAAUGGCGCAUUUUUCAUCUAGCUGAAGACAUAAUUAAAGCCUGUUGUGUUCUUCAUAAUUUUGUAAGAGUCAGAGAUGGAAACCGUUGCGAUAACAUUGAAGCAGGAACAACGCAUGACAAUUUGACAGUUGAUUCAUUUAGCAAAGGGAAUCCAAGAGCAUUAAAUGGCCGAGAUAAAUUUGCAAAUUAUUUUGUUAAUAUUUAUCCACUAGAGUGGCAAAACGAAUCAAUAUAAACUAUAUGUAUAUUA